GGAUCCUUCAUCUGUACAUAAUGCAGACAAUGCCUUUACACUAUUUUAUGUGAAAUUUCGAGCUGCUGCCCCCAAAGUCAGAACUCUUAUUGAACAGAUAGAACAACGAUCUGAAAAAAUACCUGAAUACCAGCACCUGCUAAAUGAUAUCCACCAGUGUUAUCUUGAUCAACGGGAACUUCUUUUGGGUCCUAGUAUUGCCUGUACUGUCACAGAAUUAACUAGCCAGAACAACAGAGAUCAUUGUGC